AGGGGAGGGGGAGAGAGAGAGAGAGACACAGAAUCCGAAGCAGGCUCCAGGCUCCAAGCUGUCAGCACAGAGCCCGACGUGGGGCUCGAACUCACAGAGUGUGAGAUCAUGACCUGAGCUGAAGUCAGACGCUCAACUGACUAAGCCACCCAGGUGCCCCGAAUUUCUCCUACUUAUAAUGCCUAUGCCUGUCCCUCAUUGUAUUUUGGAAGUACACAAUUUGUCUGAUGUCACAGGUUCACAGCUGAAGAGGAAUUUUGUCUCAGGAUGAAUAUACCUCAAACAUGUAUACCUGAUUUAGAUAUUUAGAUGAGACUUUAGACUUCAGGGUUAAUACUAGAAUGAGGUAAGACUUUUGGGGUCAUUGGUAUAGAAUCAAUGUAUUUUGCAUGCAAUAAGCCAUGAAUUUGGUGGGGAGCAAGCAUGGAAUGCUAUGGACCAAAUUGUGUUCACUGCCCAAAUUAAUAUGCUGAAGCCCCAGCUCCCAAUGUGACUGUAUUUGGAGUAGGGAAGUAAUCAAGGUUAAAUGAGGUCAUAACGGGAGGCCCUCACAGGUUUAGUGCCCUGUAAGAGGAGACACCAGAACUCUCUUUCUCCCCAUGGUGUGAGGAAACAAUGGGAAGGCAGCCAUCUAUAAUGCAGGAAGAGAGCUCUUACCAGAAACUGACCCUAUUGGACCUUGAUCUGGAACAUCCCAGCCUCCAGAACUGUGAGAAAUAAAUUUCUAGUAUUUAAGCCACCCCGUCUAUGGUAUUUUGUUAUGGCAGCCCAAGCUAACACAGUCUUUGUUAUGGUAACCUGAGCUGACUAACACAAUCUCUAAUGAUAGGAGAUGAGGAGAGGUCUCUAGGCCUCCACAGGGUGGACUGAAGGGCUCUGGAAGGGCCUCAGAGCCCAGGACACAGAAUCUCAUUAUUCUUCUGAUGUCCUUGGUGCAAACCAGGGAGCUGCUGCCUGCCCUAGAACUCCAAGCCGUUCCCAGGUAGAAAUGGGCACUCAACACCAUCAUGGUUAUACCAAUUCAAAACUCUUUUCUUGGACUGAAAGGUUUUGGUACUGUUGUUGAGACAUCUUCCCAGUUGUAGGGGGUAUGUUAUAAAUGAAGAAUCAACAUUUUACAAUUACAAUUAUAAAAUUGUUUCCCAGAGGUUAGGAAAAAAACCGAAAUACCUUUGUUGGAGCUUACUCAUAAAAAGCAUUAUUCACGUGGCUGUUUUCAUCCUAAUAUGUUCAAUUUCAUCAUCUUCUAUAAAGAUCAUCAUGACUCCCAAGUAUUCAACCAAUCUAUACAUAUUUAUAAACCAUUGCAGGGUUUAUUUGACUGUCUUUCGUUAUCAAACCUGUCAAUUCCCUUCAGUGAAAUGAACAGUGGUGUAAUUUCUGAUCUGUGGGCAGUGUCUGGGAGGAGGGUAGGGUGUCUGUGGCUGGCAACCUACUGGCCAGCCAAACUGGAAAAUCAGCUUUUCAGAAGUUUCCUCCUGACUCCUCCCAGGCCAUUUAUCUCAGAUUAUCCUCCACCUGCACUCCCCAGGUUAGGGGAGGGCAGAGGAGAGAAAAAAUAUUAAGGUUUGGGAUGGACUACCAUUGACCAUAUUUGUAAUUAGUUCCGAGUUCUGGCAACAGAGGACAGGGACAGAGGCAUUAUUGUGUUUUUUCAGCACCCAGCGAGCCAUAGUAGCCACAGCAGCAGCCAUGUUCGUAGCUCUCCUGAUCCACAUGGCACAGCCAUGACUUGACUUGUCCCACAGACAAGACUUGGGACAACGAGAGCCUUACAUGCUGCCCCACCCCUCUGCAUGUUCAUGUGUGCCUCCUGACAUGACCUAAUCGUCCUCCACCAGCUGCCUCUGAUAUAUGGGAAGGUCCCCUGGCCAAUACAAGGUGUGGGCACAAAGGGUGGCACUGGUUCCCAGAAUCUGAGAAUAAUCCUAUUGGAUCCAGGCAGCUAGUGCUGGGCAAUGGCUCAGAGUUCCCAAGGAAGUUCAAUAAAGUAGAAAUUAAGUUAUUGCAGACAUGAGCUAGGAUGGGGACUUGGGGAGCCUACUCACAGAAUGUUAAUGAAGGUAGGUAGCAGAAUAUGCUACCCUAAAAUAUGGCAUGUUGGCAAAGGAUUACAUUGAGCUGAAGGCAAUUGAGAAGAAGCAGACACGAGAAAAGCUCCGACUUCCCCUUGUUUGCCUAAAAGCAGGACAUAAAUUUGUAAAGGUGUCCCCCCUCCCUGCUCUACCAGGAAGAACAGAGGUCAAUGACUGGAGACAACUCUAGACCCUUAUCAGCCCAGAGAUGGCACCAGAGCAACCUAUUUAACAAACUUUACUGAAACUUUAUCAGCCAUUAGUUCUCUCAUAUAUUGACCUUCCCACCAACUGCUGCCUUAGAAACUCAAAGUCCUUUUCCUUUCUCUCGGCACUUCCCUAAAAAUUUAUUUUUACGCUGCUGUAUAAACCCAAGUCCUAACCACCUCUUUGAAUUACUCAUCAUUGGGUACUCCUGUGCGUAUGCUCAAUGCACAUGUUAAUAAACUUCCGUUUUUGUUUUGUUAAUCUGUCUUUUACCAGCCUAAUUUACAGGGCCCCUACAGUAAACCUAACAGUUUUCCUCCUCCACUUUAGGGAAAUGCAAGGGCCCCUGGGCUCCUUAAGAAGACGAGGGGAGGUUGACCCCCUGAGAAAGAGCCUUCUGAGUUGUAGAGGUGAAGGAGAGAUUUCAGCUUCUGCUGAUGAAUAGGUAAGGCACAUAUAAAAUAACUGUAAGCUUGAGAUCUUAAUUUUGAGUUAAUAAUGCAGGGUUUUGAUUGUUUGGGCCAUAUACCCUACUUAGACCCCUAGAAUGAGUUCUAGCAUUAUGCACUAUCUAUACCACUCCCUGUCCUCAUAGCCUCCCCUAUCCUGAGGCAUACUUGGAUGCAGGUGGAUUGUCAGUCUCCCUUUGAAAGACUCAUUUCCAGUUGGCAUAGAGAAAGUUCACAGAGGGGUGCCUGGCUGCCUCCGUCAGAAAAGCAUGCGGACUCUUGAUCUCAGAGUUGUGGGUUCGAACCACACGUUGGAUGUAGAGACUACUUGAAUAAACUAAAAAAGAAAAGAAAAGAAAGAACGUUCCCAGAAACUGCCAUCUGAAUGAUGCCUCUAGAAUGAGCAAUGAUGUGGCCUGACCCAUUUUUGCUUCUUAAGUCUGUGCCCCGUCAGUGAAGCACCAAAGUCACCCCACUCCCUUCCCCAAGGCCUAAUCUUUGAUACCUAGAUCACCCUCAUCACCCAUUCUGGGGCCUUGCCUGCUAUCUUUGGAGAGAAAUGUAAUCUCAACCCAUCCUUCACUUUUUGGGAGGUAUUAAUUUAGGUGUCCAGUAUCAAGGACUCCUUUCCUUCUAGGUAAGACAUUUUAAAUUCGGAGUCAAAACCAUCUUUCUUUUCUUCAAAAUUCUGUCAAAGACUCGGGCAUUCUAGGAUUAAAUCCCUGAUCAAACCAGCCAAGUGGUAGUCAUUGAACACUGCCCCUUUCUUGGGAUUCGCUACCGACUUAACACAUUCAUCUUUGAUCUUAGGCUUUGGUUUCUCAUACUCAAUCUUGGUUUGAGUUUUCUCCGGAAGUGACUGUACUGCUUUCAUUAGGUAUCAAGCUAUGAGAUGGAAAAGGCCUCAUGUAGUCCUGCCUUGAGAUCAAACCAACAGAGUUUUCCAACGUCCAUUGUAUGCAAGACGCGGUCCUAGGAUGAGUACUGGAACAUGAGCAAACGGACACAGUGAGUUGGAGGCUACCCCUGCCCUCAAGUAGUUUAUAGCUAGCUGGAGAGAGAGACGCGAUCAAGUGUAGAGUGAACUGAUAAGAUAUCAAGAUGGCAAUAAGGUAGAAUUGAGAAGGAAGCCUGAGAAUGUUCAAAGACGAUAAAGUCAAUACAGGUAAUAACAGAGGCAAGGGAAAAUAAACCUUGCAGCGAAGGCAGAAUUGGCCAGGCAAAAAGGAGAAAGAAUGACCUUAGACCAUGUUGUAAACAAAGAUACAGUCGGUUCUGCUGUCAGGCUUGUUUUGAAAACAUGAAUUUGUUCCAAUCUGAUUCAUACAUUAGGGAGCAAUUUGAACAUGAUGUGAUUUUUGCAUUUGCUUAUGCUUGAUUUUGCCCUGGAAAACAUUAGGCAGAGAAAAACGCACCCAGCUGAACCAAGCAGGGUGGGAAUACAUAAGAUGUAGACAAGCACACCCCUCGAAUGUCUGCCCCCACCUAAGUUCACGGUGUUAUAAACCAUACCCUUUGGUAUCUGGUGUUAUCAUUUUCUUUCCAAUCUCAGAUAACCCCCCUUUAGCACUUCACAGUAACCCAGAAGUUUGUGCCCCGUCCAACAUCCACUUCCAUAUGCAAAGUUCAAAUCUGCGUUGAGGUAUAAUGCUAUAUUUAUUGUAGCGUUUACGUCUUUCUCAACUGUUUAACAUGUAUAGACCGUACUACCAUUUCAUUAGGCCCCUGUCUUUCAUUGUUGUUAGUAACAGAGCGUUUGGGUAUUGUGCCUUCUAACCUCACUUUUCCCUUAAGCCUGUGGUUUUCAUCGCACAGCAUUUGUAUAGCGUGGUUAUUUUUAGUAGCAUAUGUUGCGUUACGGCACAACUGGCCAUACAGGUUUGGGUACUAAAAAUAAUACUGGGAAAACUGUGGGUAAAUGAUUAGGGUUAUAACUGAAUUUAUGUAGGAGAAUUUAAGACUAAAAGCUGAUGUCAGAUCCAUUCAUUCUUU